CCCCGAGGAUGAAUCAUGAAAGGAUUUCCUCCGAUAUUUGUAUGAUCAUCAUUUCCCCUGACUGAAUUCCUCCCAGAUGAUUCAAUGAGAGAAUGGAAGCCAAUGUUUGAUAUUGAUGCUUCUCCAACUGGAGAAGGCAACUUGCUGGUAGGCGCAUCAACUUUCACACCAGUGCUAGCUUCCUUCUUCUUGUCAAGCAGAAAUGUACCAACAAUGAUCUGAACAGGGCCACCAGCUGUUAGAGGUCCACCAACUCCUCCUCCAAUGAUCUGUCCAUCUGUAUUAGAUAGGCAUACACUGAGCCCACCUGUUCUCCCUCCAAUAUCGGUGCGCACAUAUGAUCCAGAUAUUGAAAUGAUCUCAAACCGACCCUCAUAUGUAAUGUUGCCUCCUGAAGUUGCUGGCUGCCGGAGGGAUGCAUUUGAGAUUGAACCAGACGCAGACAUAAUGCACAUCUCACGCUUACUUUGUUGCAUGAACAUCAUAAGUUUUUGAGCUACAUCCUCGCCAGCAGCCACAGUUAUAACAUGU
rnacentral:misc_RNA from 1 species